AUACUAAGGUGCUUAAGAAUGUUGAC
rnacentral:piRNA from 1 species